AUUCCAUUCUCUUGUCACUCGUAGCAUAUUUUCAUUUGCUUUAAAUACGCUUGACAAUACAUAUGCCAAGUAUGGAACUUUGGUUGCUUCUCACAAUGUAUUUGAAUACAUGAAAGAACGGGACAACUUCUUCUGGAAAGUAGUAAUUGUGGCUUACCAAAGAUAUGGGUAUCCUGACUUCUUCUUCUGGAAAUGCAAUCAACAAGUGUCCAAAGUGAUGCAUGCACCUUCUCCACUAUACUCCCAGCCUGUGCCAAAAUAAGAGCCUUGAAGUAGGGUAUAGGCAUCCAUCAAAGCAUAGUGGAAAGGGGAUUUUUAUCUUAUGAUGUAGUUGCAAAUGCCUUGAUAGACAUGUACGCAAAACGUGCAAGAUUUCUCUCAUUUAUUUCCCUAUUUAUUUCUGUUUGUAAAUGUGUCUCCUGUUUUCUAGGUGCUCACUAUGAUUCUCCCCUAUGUUUGUGUGUUCAGGAAACAUCAUCACUGGAUGCCUGCACCUUUUUUAUUGCCAUAUUUAUUUUGUGUGGGACGAAGCAUUAAUUUUCUGAAGUGUAACAUACGGCAAUGGCUUAUGGCUCGAGCAGUUAAAUAACAUUAUUAGUUUUGACAAUAUUAUUAUUGUUAUCAUCAUUGUAAAUAACUUGAUUUCCAAUUUUUAAAAUUAUUGCACAUUAAUAAGUACUAAUGAUAUUUUUCACAUGUUAAAAUGAUUUGUUAAAAUAAUUUUUUUAUAUU